rnacentral:rRNA from 1 species
GACGAACGCUGGCGGCGUGCUUAACACAUGCAGGUCGAACGGAAAGGCCCUGCUUUUGUGGGGUGCUCGAGUGGCGAACGGGUGAGUAACACGUGAGUAACCUGCCCUUGACUUUGGGAUAACUUCAGGAAACUGGGGCUAAUACCGGAUAGGAGCUCCUGCUGCAUGGUGGGGGUUGGAAAGUUUCGGCGGUUGGGGAUGGACUCGCGGCUUAUCAGCUUGUUGGUGGGGUAGUGGCUUACCAAGGCUUUGACGGGUAGCCGGCCUGAGAGGGUGACCGGCCACAUUGGGACUGAGAUACGGCCCAGACUCCUACGGGAGGCAGCAGUGGGGAAUAUUGCACAAUGGGCGGAAGCCUGAUGCAGCAACGCCGCGUGCGGGAUGACGGCCUUCGGGUUGUGAACCGCUUUCGCCUGUGACGAAGCGUGAGUGACGGUAAUGGGUAAAGAAGCACCGGCUAACUACGUG